UCUAUUUACAAAGAUCUUAUGAUAUUGUUUAGUAAUGGCAUUUACUAAAUCAAACACGAAAGACUCCAUUGGAGAUAUUCGACCCAUGUGAAUAAAUCUAAGUAAAGAAUGUUUGAACUAUGUAUAAGGAUUUACUAAGUUAAACAUCAAAGGAUCUAAGUAAGAUUCUUAACCUAUAUUAUAUGUCAAAGAAUUUAGCUAGAUUUAGUAUCUACUGAAAUUGAAUGAGCUAAAGUUACAUGAAUAGAAUUCAAUUGAGAAUUAUUCUGCAAAAGAAUUUAUCAUGUAUGAUAUAAUAUGAGGAUCGCCAAAAACGUAUCGUAUGACUUUAGGCAUGACGAACAUAUACCAAUCUCUAUUGAUCUAAGUGAAGAUCAACUAGAUUGAGAUCAAGAACACUUAUGGUACUUGAAAAGGUACAUAGGAAUAGUUCUUGAUUCAAGGAAAUAAAGAUAUGCUAAAUAUUGAUGCUACACGCAUAAACACUGGCAAAGGAUCAAGCAAGACCCUUUGGAGUUAACCAUUGACAAGGACGAGCUAAAGAGCAUCGUGUUUCGAAAUGGCAACAUGGAUUGGAGACCAUGAGUUGUUGCGUGGGAAAUUAAAAUAUUAAUUUCUAUGUUCUAAGAUACAGCUGGAAAGUCUUCCACAUAUCUGUGAACUGCUUGGAUAAGUAAUUCCAAACAAAGCAUCACUAGCAACCUAUAAAGUUGAAGUAAAAGUACUUAUUGCCUAAGAAGCAAUAAAAUAGAGUUGUUUAUAUGAGUUCUUCAUUGAACUUGGGAAGAUCACAUGUCUGUUGACUUAAUGGUUCUUCAUUGCAAAAUGCUUAGAACCACUAAUGUAGCAAGAAAGACUAGAUCACAAAAUAAACAUACUCAAAAGUUCUUAUCAUCAUAUCUCGAAGAACAUUCGAUGAAAAGGAUAUUAAGAUUCACUAGUAGAAAAAACCCUUGUUCCAGCCCCCUUAUUGAAGGGGGCAUAAAGAAGUACGCUUCAACAACCAAUCGGUCAACGCGGGUCAAACAUUAUAAACUGUUGUUGAAGCGAACAUUUUUGUUGUUCGCUUCAAUAGCAGUUGUUGAAGGGGGGAUUAAAUGUUCGCUUCAACAAAUAACAGUCGCAUAUACUCCAACUUUUGAUUCUCUCUCCUCCUCAUUUCUUCUGUUAACCUGAAAGAUUCAUUUCUCUCUCUUCUCUCCCCUCUCCUCUCUCCCGGUUCAAAACUCCUCAAACCAUCCACCCCUUUCCAUGGAAGGUCUAUCUUCUCUCCCUCUCCCCCAUUCUCUAUAAUUUCAAAGAAGGUGUCUUCAUAAACGGCCUCGAUUUCGUUUUCUUUCUCUCUCCUCUUUCAAAAAAAAUUUCGUGUUAGAUCUAGAUAUUUCAAGCGAAAACGAGGGAGUGCAUCGGUCAAGCUGGUAGCUUUACUCUGUCGAGCAUGGUAUUCAGUUUGAUCAGUUGAUUGUUCCUGAUGAAUAUCGUUGCCCCAUUUCUAAAGAAAUUGUGAAGGACCCUGUUAUUUCAUCUACUGGAAGUGGGAAAAUGCAAGGAGUCUAUUGCCUCCAAAUGUUAGGGUUGUGGAAAUGAGUAUGAAUGAUUCCUGGUUUUGUGAUUCAAGACCUACUUUUCUCGUAAGGAAGAACAACAUGAAGAGUGUAGCUGGAAUCGAUUGGACUUUCAACAGUUAGGGUGGCGUUGAUGAUGGAUGCUAUAAGGAUUGGAGUCAUGACAUUCUUGUUUCAAGGAAGGGUAUGGUUUUCGAUCUCCUUUAAAGGCGGUCACACAAUCGAGGUCAAUCAAGAAUUGGAAAGACAAGAGGUUGAAGAAAUGUUAGAUGAUUGUAUUAAAAUGUAUGCCCUUAAACAGGUUCCCUCUGAGAAAAUAUGCAUUGAGAAAGAGUCUAUAACUGAUGGAAUUUUGGAACUCAUAUCUGAAUUGGGGAUACAGAAAUUGGUGAUGGGUGCAGGAUCUAACAGCAGAUUUUUUUGAGGAUAAAACCAAAACCCACCUCAGAACAGUCUAAUGAAGUCCUUAAUAAAGCUCCUGAUUUCUGUCAUAUCUGGUUUGUAUACAAGGGUCGUCUAAUAUAUACAAGGGAAGCCACGAAGCAACUGAUCACCGCCGUCUAGAAGAAAAUCAGUUGAACAGAUUGAGCUAUUCAGAACAAUCAGUUGAUUCACCAUCAGCUGAGUCAGCUGGUAGCUCAUGACCACUGUCUCAAAACAUGCAGCAUUCUUCACCUGCUACUUAAUUUGCUUUUUUAAUUUUUAUUUUAUUUUAUUUUGCAGGAAGUUUGAAGAUAGAAGGGUGGUGAAAUUUACUAUGGAAGACUUGUCAAGAAAUGAUAAAUGGGCAUGGCGUAAUUUUGG